rnacentral:rRNA from 1 species
UGUGUAGGCGGGCGGGUAAGUCGGACGUGAAAACUCCAGGCUUAACUUGGAGCCUGCGUUCGAAACUACCUGUCUUGAGUACGGGAGAGGAAAGCGGAAUUCCUGGUGUAGCGGUGGAAUGCGUAGAUAUCAGGAGGAACACCGGUGGCGAAGGCGGCUUUCUAGCCCGAUACUGACGCUGAGACACGAAGGCUAGGGGAGCAAACA